GACUUAGUGCUCAGGGGAUAUAAAAAUAAUGCAUUGUAUGCCGGAAGGGAUAAAUCUGGGGCUGAGUACAAGCAAAACAAGACCAAAGGAAGCUACCUGAGCAGGUAUUCCAGAUACUCAUGUCAUACACCAAGGUUGUACCAGUGCCCCUUUCUCUGUGACACAUCCAUCCACUGGAAACUUUCGUACAACUAGCUGAAAGAAGAGAAACAUCCUAUUUCAUGUCACUGGAGCCCUAAUGAUCGCAGCCAUUUCAGGAAAUGCCAUCAAUUACAGUGAGGAGCUCAUUCAGAAGUGAAAGAUGAGUUCCAUUCUCUGUUACUUAGAGCUGGAGGGAGGAUGGCAUUUCAAGAGGUGGCAAGUGGUCCUUCUUCACAGUCAUAUCUCUCAUUCUGCAAGCCAAAGACUCAAUCUGCAUAAUAUUCCAUGGUGUAUAUAUACCACAUUCUUUUCCCAGUCAUCAAUCACUGGACGCUUAAGUUGAGUAAUGGCUUUUUAUUGAGGGUAUUACAAAGCUCAAAUCUGAGAAAACCUUGUCUACCAUCAACCCUGACCUACAGAGGAGAGGCACCCCCAAGCUUAUUAGUGAUCCUGUCUCCGUCUUAUUGGCACAUCCUGAUGGCCUUGAUCUCUAGUUCUUCCUGUGGAGCAUAACCAUAUGGUUCUUUGCCAAGAUGUUAAGACCAAAGUCGGAGAGUGAACCCCAUGUCAAUGAAUUCUUGUUUUUCUGAUCUUACAUUCCAUCACUUUGAUCCAGUACUCUCAAAAUGCAAUCACAGUUGUACAUGUCUUCUCCUGUCAAUAAACGCUACCUUAGUACUGCAGUUCCUUAA
rnacentral:lncRNA from 1 species